rnacentral:rRNA from 1 species
AGUAAUAGAUAUAAUCUUGAAACUUAAAGAAUUUGGCGGUAUUUUAAUCUUUUCAGAGGAACCUGUUCUAUAAUCGAUAUUCCACGUUAAAUUUUACUAAAUUAUUUGUAUAUCGUUGUCGAAAGAAUAAAUUUUCAAAAAUUUUUAAAAAAAUAGAUGUCAAAUCAAGGUGUAGUUAAUAUUUUAGUAGAAAUGGGUUACAAUAAAUUUAUUUAGGAUAAUUUUAAAGGUGGAUUUGAAAGUAAAUUGAUUUUAAUAAGAU